UGCUGCAUUACUUAAAUCAAAGUCCCCCUACCCUCCCUAUAUAGAGAGUGACUACACUAAUACUCAAAGCCCAUUUAAAAUGGUGCCUCUGCUCUACAGGGAGGAAGAAGACAAUCGAUUACUGAAGUAAAAGAAGGCAACAAGCAACGCAGUCGCAGUGCAAUGGCUGCGCAAUGAUGAUUCGAUCCCGUAUAUGUACAUAUAUAUAUAUAUAUAUGUAUGUAGAAGAAUGCAGUGCGUAGACUGUGCUAACAGUGAUCCGCAUGCAGAGAUGAAUGUUAUGCGGUAACUGUAUGAAUAAUAGUCUCCAGAGAAUCAAGUGAAAAAAAAAUUAAAUAAAUAGUCCGCAUGCGAAGAAGAAUGCGGUCCAGUGAGAAAGCCCAUCGAAUAAACCCAGCAAUGUUAGUCUACCGUACUCAUCAUCAAAACACAUACACACAUAAAAAGAAAACGCAUGCUACUGUUAACAAGUCAAGAAGGGAAAAGGAAAUGGGUGGUGGCAACAGAAUGAUGCUUCCAGUCACCAUUUAAAGGGAAAUAGGUGCACUAGUCACCAUCUAAAAGGAAAUGGGUGCAUCAGGCACCAUCUAAAAGGAUAACAAAAAAUAAAAAUAAAAUAAAAAAGGGAAGUAACACAUCUUAGUCAGAUAUACAUUUUAUUUGUAUUUAGCACAACAUACUGAAUAAAAUAAAGCAUGUCCAUUGAUAUCUAUAAAAAGUUACAAGUGUGUACAAAAAAAAUGGAAGAGAAAAGGAAAGAAAAAGAGAGGGAGACUUCACAAAGGUUGCUCACGUGAAGCCUCAGCACUCGGCAAAACCCUAGAAGAAGAAGGCACUAAAGAUUGAUCAUGUGGCGCCUCAAUACUUGGUUGAACGCCAGAUAGCGAAGGAAAAAUGUGCCUCUGGAAGAAAGCCACGAACUUCUGAUGGUCGCUUUGAAUCCGACAUUCAGAUUCCUGUAGAUGAUCAAGUUUUCUCUUCAUGCUCGUCGAAUAAUCAUUUACAAGCAUGUGCAACUCUCGAUUCUCGUGCUUGAGACGUUUGAUCUCUCGUCCAAGGCAUUCCACCUCGGCCGUCAAUGAUUCAACUUGGCAAGUUCGAGCCAGUAGGCGUUGGCCCAUGUUGGACACAUAGCCCGCACACUAAACACUGAGAGCUCGGGAGUCUUG
rnacentral:lncRNA from 1 species